CCUACGGGGGGCAGCAGUGGGGAAUAUUGCACAAUGGGGGCAACCCUGAUGCAGCGACGCCGCGUGAGUGAAGAAGUAUUUCGGUAUGUAAAGCUCUAUCAGCAGGGAAGAUAAUGACGGUACCUGACUAAGAAGCCCCGGCUAACUACGUGCCAGCAGCCGCGGUAAUACGUAGGGGGCAAGCGUUAUCCGGAUUUACUGGGUGUAAAGGGAGCGUAGGUGGCAGGGCAAGUCAGAUGUGAAAACCCGGGGCUCAACCCCGGGAGUGCAUUUGAAACUGUCCAGCUGGAGUGCAGGAGAGGUAAGCGGAAUUCCUGGUGUAGCGGUGAAAUGCGUAGAUAUGACGAAGAACCCCGAUUGCGAAGGCAGCUUGCUGCAGCGGAACUGACGCUGAUGCUCGAAAGCGCGGGUAUCGAACAGGAUUAGAUACCCUUGUAGUC
rnacentral:rRNA from 1 species